AGACUCAUGGUCUAGUGGUAUGACGUUCGCUUCACAUCAUCGUGAUUAGCUUCUCAAGCGCGAAAGGUCCUGGGUUCGAUCCCCAGUGGGUCUA